UACGAAGGGGGCUAGCGUUGUUCGGAAUUACUGGGCGUAAAGCGCGCGCAGGCGGCCAUUCAAGUCAGGGGUGAAAGCCCAGAGCUCAACUCUGGAACUGCCCUUGAAACUGUAUGGCUUGAGUAUGAGAGAGGUGAGUGGAAUUCCCAGUGUAGAGGUGAAAUUCGUAGAUAUCGGGAGGAACACCGGUGGCGAAGGCGGCGAUCUGGGUAGAUACUGACGCUGAGGUGGCGAAAGCGUGGGGAGCAAACAGG
rnacentral:rRNA from 1 species